rnacentral:rRNA from 1 species
AUUGAACGCUGGCGGCAGGCCUAACACAUGCAAGUCGAGCGGAGCCGCGGACGGGUGAGUAAUGCCUAGGAAUCUGCCUCUUAGCGGUGGAUAACGUCCGGAACCGGGCGCUGAUACCGCAUCCUUACACUUGAGCAUAUGUCGGAUUAGCUUGUUGGUGGGGUAAAGGCCUACCACGGCGACGAUCCGUAACUGGUCUGAGAGGAUGAUCAGUCACACUGGAACUGAGACACGGUCCAGACUCCUACGGGAGGCAGCAGUGGGGAAUAUUGGACAAUGGGCGAAAGCCUGAUGCAGCCAUGCCGCGUGUGUGAAGAAGGUCUUCGGAUUGUAAAGCACUUUAAGUUGGGAGGCGUUACCAACAGAAUAAGCACCGGCUAACUUCGUGCCAGCAGCCGCGGUAAUAC